UACGAAGGGGGCUAGCGUUGCUCGGAAUGACUGGGCGUAAAGGGCGCGUAGGCGGAUUGUACAGUCAGGCGUGAAAUUCCCGGGCUCAACCUGGGGGCUGCGCUUGAGACGUGCGAUCUUGAGUGGGGAAGAGGGUCGUGGAAUUCCCAGUGUAGAGGUGAAAUUCGUAGAUAUUGGGAAGAACACCAGUGGCGAAGGCGGCUAACUAGUCCAGCACUGACGCUGAGGUGCGAAAGCGUGGGGAGCAAACAGG
rnacentral:rRNA from 1 species